AGCUCGCACAUAUUCAGUGAUGGCACCAGGUGGGAGAGUACGUCGUUCGCGCACUGGAUCUACCCCUUCUACUCGUGAAGUGAUGGAGCCAGCAUCGUCGUCACAUGUUGCAUCGCAGGCGUCUGAUCCCUCAGUCGCGCAUACACCGGGCACUGCAUCAUCGUCGACCAGCCAACGAGGACGUGGACCCACGCGUGGAUUGCUUUUAAAGCGACUUACGCGUGAGGGUAGGGUGACGGUAGAGUUCCCAUAGGACUGCAUUAGACCUGUUGGGAACAAUGCCAUGUUGUUUACGUCAGAGGUCGGUGUCUUAUGCCGAUCUCUGAUCCCCCCCCACCACUCCCCGUUGGGGAGACGUGACAGAUGAUGUGCGGCAGCUCAUCCGUCAGCGCCUUCAGGAUAAAUUUGACUUGGAUUUGAGUGUUCCGCACAUCUCUCAUGCUGUCGACGACAUGAUGAAGGAGCGGUUCAAGGAUUACCGCAGUAAGUUACACCGGCAAUACAAGCGGUGCAUGAGCCACGAGGAGGCCGUACAGUCCGCACCGCUGCACGUGACCGAUGAGGACUGGCGGAUACUCUGCGAUAGGUUUUCGUCUGAUUCUUUUCAGAAGAGGAGCAAAAUAAAUUCUGACAAUAGAGGAAAGUUAGAAGUGAACCAUGUAGCUGGUUCAAAGUCAUUUGUACGACUUCGUCACGACAUGGCAAGAAAGUACUGGUAAUUAUUAUGUUUAUAUAUUCUUUCCAUGCAUUUAUAUUAAGUCUAUUGUCUUUUCGAUUGCGCAGCGAGAUUCCAUCACUGGGCAGGAGCUCGGACUAGUAGACUUCUACAAAGGGACUCACUGUCGGCAGUCGACAGGAUCUUGGGUACAUCCUAGAGCCAGCGAGAUUUGGGAGGAGAUGAACACCUUACGCAGUCAGCCCACUCUCGAUGGUACUCAGCGGAGUGAGCCAGAGAUCCUGAGUCAGGUGCUUGGCAUCCGUUCUGGAUAUGUGCGUGGGUUUGGCCAUGGUGCCAAGCUCAUGGCACCCGCUAGAGCUGCCUCCAGCCGAUCCAUCGUCGUUGGCGACAGCGCCGUACGCCGAGCUGAUACUGCAGAGAGAGAGGUUCAGCAGUUACGGGUCGUCGUCGAUGACAUCAAAGAUCAGCUGGACAGAC